AUUGGGUCGGCCAAAAAGUUCGUUUGGGUUUUUCUGGUGAAAUAUGGAAAAACCCGAACGAUCUUUUUGGCAAACCCAAU
rnacentral:miRNA from 1 species